UACGUAGGACCCAAGCGUUAUCCGGAAUUACUGGGCGUAAAGAGUUGCGUAGGUGGCAUAGUAAGCAAAUAGUGAAAUGAUACGGCUCAACCGUAUGCCCAUUAUUUGAACUGCUAAGCUUGAGCAUGAGAGAGGUAGAUGGAAUUUCUAGUGUAGGAGUGAAAUCCGUAGAUAUUAGAAGGAACACCGAUGGCGUAGGCAGUCUACUGGCUCAUUGCUGACACUAAGGCACGAAAGCGUGGGGAGCGAACGGG
rnacentral:rRNA from 1 species